rnacentral:lncRNA from 1 species
GAAAAAUUGUGACCAUUUAUUUGACUAUUGAGUGGGGUGUGCUGUUUUCUCCCAUCUUAAUUCUGAGGAUAGCGUAUGGACUGAACACUAAGAAACUAUCAUUUGUUCUCACGACAAGGGGGCGCAUUGAAAAGCGGAGUACCUUGAAUAACCGUGGUUUGCUUAAAAGAAUAAUACAUGUUUUAUGGCUAAAUUUGUCCUCCCUCAACGGCUUUAGUUGGUGAGGUUCAGUGGGUCAAAACAUACUUGGACCUGUCGACAAUGGGGUGAAAGUCCAUGUUUUGAACUCACCCCAUUCUGGUCCCUUAUGGAAUAGUCAGAGUUUUUGUAAGUGUUGAUCAUGAUGUCUAUUUAAAGUAUUGGCCUGUGGUGCAAAUCUCACACAACUAUCACUUUAUAAUGUAGCUGCGUAACAAAUCUUUUUAGAUGGGUUUUGCUAAAUAGUGACAGUUGGUGUGGGUGUUUGGAUGAGAUGUAGACAACGCGAUGUAUAUUAAUUUGUCUAUGUUCACUUUUCUUAAGAAUGUACAACAUUUAAAGCUCUCGUGUAACCACUCUCUUAACCAAUGCCCCAUGGGUACUUGUUAAUCGUGAUUUGUCAGGCCAAACUUUACUAAGGCCACCCUGGCGCUACACAGGGAGCCUAAAUGAACACAGUAAGACCUUUUCCAAAGAACUGUAAUAGGUAUCCGCCAAUAUAAGAAUGGCAGAGGAGAAGACCUUACACUAAUAUUGUGUAAUCAUGUAACUAUUCAAAUUCGAAGACGAUUCGCGCAUUCAUGUUGACUCAUCUUAUAACUCAAAAAUGAUGCAACAAAUUUUGAAAAAAAUGAAUAUCAUAGUUUUUAUUAACCAAUAAUCUCUACAUGAGCCAUAAUCCCUCUUUGAAUCUGUGAAACCGAGCUAGUCGAUCUCCUCACAGAAUUUCCUAAUUUCCCCUUUCCAUAAAUUCUUCGAAACAAGCUUGAUCACAGCAUGAUGACAAAUCCCCACAUAUUCCUAUAUUUUUUAAUCACUUUGAAUCGGCUAACCCUCCCUCGUACUAAUCAAACCGAAGCCAAGCUAGAAGCUUCUCACUAAUAAUAGCGUCACUUGCGUUCUCUUUCUCCUCUUUCUCCUCCUGCCCUAUAAUCAUCUGCAACACAGAAGUCGUCGGUUUCUCUGGUAACUAUCCAUAAGACUUUCGAUCCGAAUACCUUCACUCCCCUCACGCCGUUUCCGAUAAAAUAUCCCUCCCAACUUGAAAUGGGUUUCUGAUCAAACCCGUUGACAAACGUGUGUAUCUACACCUCCCACUUCUGUAUAGCUAAACCCCGAAUUUUCUUUACUCUCUGUUCGUCAUUGCCCUGCCAUCCCUCACCCUCCCCACAGUCGUCCCACCUCUGGUUUGCUGCAACACUUCGACACAAUAUGAAAUCACCACAUGUUUUAGAAAACCCAUCUCAAGACCUUCCUCGAGACUUGUUCCGCCAAAUCGACAUUCCCAUGAGUCUUUGCAAGCUCCUAAUAAAGUCUGCCAAAGCACACAUCAGGGACCAUUGGCAUUGAAUUACAAUCCCAAAAGAAGCCAUGCUUCAAUGUUUCAAGCCUCCCAGCUUCUGCGGGGGCCCCCACAAUCCACCACAUACACGCCAUAGACUUCUUCACAUUAGCACAUUAUCCGCACUUUUUGUACGCGUCCACAGCCCUCUCAUUGAGUUAAAACAACUAAAAACCCAUUCUCCACUAACCCUCAUUAUUACCCAAACCACAACACCACGACGUGCGAAGCAAGGUAAGCUCAAAGGGUACCUCCGUCCGGGCAACCCCCGCUAUGACACCCCUUUGCUUCGAAAAGCUCAUAUUCCCUACGAACCCGUCCCACCCGUCCCCGUGCAUCGCCAAUUCCAUUAUCAUUGUAUUCCAAGUCACUGAUACUCUUGCACAACUCAUAUUCUCAAAAACCCAAUAAGCUUUAUCCACAACCCACAUGUUCGCAUACAUACAACUACCACAAUUGUCCCAAACUUGCACCUUCAAAAUCCAACUUCUCACAUUCCUCCUCUUCUCCAUCUAAUGUGUCCCAUAUCUUUCGCUUCUCCCCAUCUCUGCAGCACCCAAUUGCGAACACGCUGACAGCUCCAGAACUGUCACUCACUUCAUUAGGCUUCCACCCCUCCCUCCAACUUUCAUUCUCUUGAAGAAGCUUCUAAAGCUUCGUUUGGUCGACUAACCCUGAGCCACCCAGCAAUCACCGCGUUUUCCAACGCCGCAUUCUCGCUGAUGCAAUCUCGUCGAACACUGCUGUGGCGUUGGUCCAAAUCACCAAUCAUCACCCCCAUUUCGCAUAAACAUCCACAAUGUUGUCUGUAACAAGAAUCGGCUUCGGAACCCCUACGUAUUAGCUGAGAGUGUCUGGCGCCUCGGACAAGCCAGAGCCCGCGCGCAGGCCUUGAGUGGCGAACGAGCAGUGAGGCGUCGGUCUUUAGCGGCGCACGUGCCAUGACGCGAAGCACGUCACGGGGAGGCGGAGGGUUGGCGGCUGUGGGCGAGGCCGCGGACGACGGCGUUCCAGUCGUUGGUGUCGGGGGAGGGAAUGCGGCGGAGGACGGCGUCUGCGUAGGAGGCUGCUGCGGCUGCGCAGAGCUCCAGGAGCUUGGAGCGGGAGGGGCAGAAUCGGAAAAGGCCGGUGGUUGUGAGGUGGGCGUGGAGUUGUUUGAUGUGUAAGAGAGAAAGAGACUGAAAGGUGCAUUUCUGUAACAGUGUGUCGACGUCGACGAAGGCCAUGCAACGCGAACAGGUUCAGGACUGUUUUUUCAUUCUUUUAAGUGACAGAAGUGUCACCGGAA